rnacentral:misc_RNA from 1 species
UCAAGAUCAAAAUAUCAAAUUCAUCAAAGAGUACGAGCUAAAGUAGGUUCCUUAUUGCUGCUUAACUUGAUCACUUGUCCCUUCCCCAUGUAUUUCAAAACAUCAACUAGAAAUUUCCACUCCAAUAUUCAUGUACACAACUGCCUACUCUAUACAAAUUGCAAGUAUCUUCUCCCAGAUGUCGCAAUCUACCAAUUAAAAAGACAUUCUAGCACCUUUGGGGACUGGCCAUCUCACUCGCAUACAGAAUAUCACAGAAUACAAAGAUAGAUGCAGAAUAGCAAGUGCCAAUAUCUCUUCAUUCAUUCAGGAAGUUUCUUCCAGGCGAAACAUCGUGAUCUCUUGCUGUUUGAAGUACCGACGGUCCUCUUCGUCAACAAGAACAAGAUUCAAAUAGUAUUUCACACUAAAUUUGUUGUUGAUAUUGCGGUAUGUUGGUGUCAGCUCAUAUGGACUAAGGAAGAGUCUAAUGGGUAUUGAUUCACCUCUGACUGGAGCACCAUCCAUCAACUCAAACUUGGCCAGCGUCUCUGUUUCAACAUGGGUAUUUGCCCCAGAACCUGUCGAUUCUCGGCGUCUAAUCUCAAGAUCCAUGUUCUUUAUCUUAAUUCUUACAAGGAGAAAAUAUAUUUUUCCUAUGAUAACAUCUUUCAGGUGAUACUUGCUUUUGUUGUACUCAAACUCAAUAUGGAGGCAAUCUUCAAUACCAACUUCCAUCUUAAUACUAUUGUUGAUUGAUGGAGGCGGGCUAUAGUUGCGCACCACGAAGUCUUGAUAUUCAACUAUGCUACCAGCAUAACCACGGCUGAUAGUAAUUUUAAGGAUAUACCUAAGUCGAACAUUAACCCCAUUAUAUGUUUCAUAGGGCAUUUCAACAGUUGAAAACUCAAAAGGAUAUGUUUUCCUUUCAUAAAUUUCACCAGGAACAUCCAGUUCUCGGACAAGGGAGGUGAAGUCGUAAAAGUUCCCCCUGUCAAAGUACAUUUCUAUCUGACCAAGAAGCUCAACUUUGAUCCCAUUAUGUUCAACCUUCUUCCCUGAUACUGGUUCUACAGAAAUCUUUCCAGCAAUGUUUUCUUGACUUUGGAAAAGUGGGACCAUAACAGUUUGACCAUUUUCCUUCUUCAAGGGGACCUGUUUGCGGGAUUUUCCAUCACCAAACGUGAUUGAGAUGUUGCAUGCUGGCUUGAACGCUCCAAUAAUGUAAUUCAUGCUAAAAGAAGUGAAUAGUGGACCAAAAUCCUCUUGGAAGAAUAUAACAGAGACGACCAGAUCUGAUGGAGGCGAUGUAAAAUGGAGUAUAAAUGGUGAGAAGCAC